rnacentral:rRNA from 1 species
GACGAACGCUGGCGGCGCGCCUAACACAUGCAAGUCGAACGGAGCUUAGAGAGCUUGCUUUUUAAGCUUAGUGGCGAACGGGUGAGUAACGCGUGAGUAACCUGCCCUAGAGUGGGGGACAACAGUUGGAAACGACUGCUAAUACCGCAUAAGCCCACGGUACCGCAUGGUACUGAGGGAAAAGGAUUUAUUCGCUUUAGGAUGGACUCGCGUCCAAUUAGCUAGUUGGUGAGGUAACGGCCCCACCAAGGCGACGAUUGGUAGCCGGACUGAGAGGGUGAACGGCCACAUUGGGACUGAGACACGGCCCAAACUCCUACGGGAGGCAGCAGUGGGGAAUAUUGCACAAUGGGGGAAACCCUGAUGCAGCGACGCCGCGUGAGUGAAGAAGUAUUUCGGAUGUAAAGCUCUAUCAGCAGGGAAGAUAAUGACGGUACCUGACUAAGAAGCACCGGCUAAAUACGUGCCAGCAGCCGCGGU